CAAUGUGAGGGUGAUAUAGCUGCCACAUCUGUUACCCCAUUGAUCACUAGGGUUGGUUUGGCUGACCUGACUGGCUAGGCUGAUGUCCCCUUCCUCCCCCACAGCUCCAUGUGCAUCCUCCCUGUAGCUGCACACUGUCAAUGAGAAGAACCUUCUUCAAAUAGAGGAGGACCAGUCUUCCGUCAAGGGUAGCUGUGCUCCCCUGCUAGAACCUCCAAACAAGCUCUCAAGAAAAUGCCUUGCAGGGCUGGAGAGAUGGCUCGGUGGUUAAGAACACUGACUGCUCUUCCAGAGGUCCUGAGU
rnacentral:snRNA from 1 species